rnacentral:SRP_RNA from 1 species
UGCCGGGCCCUGUGCGAUGGGGCACCGUGAACCAUGUCAGGCGGGGAACCGAGCAGCAUUAAGCGGUUCGCUUCAUGCGCCGCAGCCAGCCUGGUGUCC